ACAGCACUGGAAUUAGAAUAAUCCAAUGGCGGGAACUCAAAGGCUGAGAAAUUCAUCACAGGCUCUCGUAGCCGCCAAGAAAAAGCCACCAAUAUCGGCAUUCCAUUGGCCAAUUGAAUUGUUCAUGGCGCCGGACGGAGUACCAGGUAGCGGCUCCUUCGUCAGUGUUGCCAUUUUUCCGCAUCUGGAAGCUCAUCUUCUAUGCGGAGAGCCAAGACAGAGGCAGAGACAAGCGAAUAGAGGGCGAACCAGUCUCUGAACCGAUCGAUGAGGGAGAUGAGAGAUGUUUGAAGGAACAAUCGUUUUAUCGGCUCAGAAGCUCGAAGUCUGUCUGAGGUUGCAGGUGUAGAAAUAAAAGGUUAAACCUUGUUGAUGCUGGAAGGAUUUUCUGGAGCUUUAAGCAUGGAUAUCUCCCUCUCUAACCGCAUCUCCACACUGCUAUUAAUCUAAAUCCGGUGUGCUACCUUUAUUUUCCUUGGUUAUCUUUUGAGCCUGCAAUUGGUGUUCCUUGCAUGCCUUUCCUUUUAAUAUCACAAAAACCUUAACAAACCCAAGCCAGUUGCAUGAGCCUGCCACUGUGUAUAAGGUUUUCAUGGACCUACAUAAAAAAGAAAAAAGUAUACGAUCAUCUAGCCAGGUCUCGAAAGACUAAAAUGUAACCAAUUUGAACUAGAUUAUAUGUAUACUUCGCUUGUGACCUUAGAAUCUGAGUGUGAAGAAUAUGGCAUUACCCUGAUUCCACCAAUUGAUUUCAUAUGUGAAGAGGCUCCAAAUUCCUAUGAAGUCAAGACCAGCCGCGCUUAUUUGUAUGGUAUAUCGAAAGAAUUCGCAAAUGGAUAUAUAUCUCCAAAUCCGUCGACCACAAAAAUGCAGUAAAUGGAUGGGGAAAGGUGAAGGAAUAGCUGUUCCAUCCGGCACCAUUUGGGUCGAACCCCAGAAGUCUAUUCUGCAUUUAAUGAGAAAAGAUAUGGGACUACGGUUGGUGCAAUCAAGGCGACGAACUUCAAAGGUACGAGAUAUUUGAUUCAAUCAAGUCUAGUAUUCUCAUUAACUCAUGUGUUAAAGUGAUAGGUGUUUAGGAUGAUGAUAGGUGUUUAGGAUGGUUGGAAAUUAGUCUCAGAUUAGCUAAUUUAACAUGAAGCCUUUAGAAGAAACCAAAACUAAAGCCUUUGAAAGCUUAGGCUCAAAAUGUACAUUAUGUUAAGCAAUAGGAAUUAUCAAAAACAAAAUAGCCUGUGAUAGGAACUUCAUUAUGAUAAUAUUUUCAACAGAGAAACUUGCAGAAUAACAAAUUAUACGAGCAUAUGUAACUGAUAUUCUUCAUGUCUUAUCAAGAUAACAGCAAAUAAGAACCAAAAACGAAAAGCAAAUCUUAAUUGA